rnacentral:lncRNA from 1 species
ACUUAGAGAAGUUCGAGACCUACAAAUGCAAGCACAAGAUGAUCCUCAACCAAAAAUAUCUAUUAAUGAAGUAGAACCAUAAAAUACACCUCCUCUUUGAAGGUUGGAUAGAGUGCGGAAUGGACCAAUAAGGUAUGGGUUUAUUGUUGUGAUCUAGGUGGUGUGCCCAAGGCCCAGGGGACCAAGGCUAAGGCCAAGGUCCAUCAUUCAUGAGGGCUUCAUGGAGGCUCUAGGGCUAGUUGGGCCCUAGGUUGAAAGGCUGUGGGCCUUUCAGGUUCUUGAGGUCUAGGUUAUGUGGGCCUCAAGAGACCAACUCUUUAUGGGCCAGGUCUGAGCCCAGGAUAGGUGAGAUUAGGUCGAGUCAUGGGUGUACAUGGGCUUGGGU